rnacentral:rRNA from 1 species
CGGACCGGCGCACGGGUGAGUAACGCGUAUGCAACUUACCUAUCAGAGGGGGAUAACCCGGCGAAAGUCGGACUAAUACCGCAUGAAGCAGGGGCCCCGCAUGGGGAUAUUUGCUAAAGAUUCAUCGCUGAUAGAUAGGCAUGCGUUCCAUUAGGCAGUUGGCGGGGUAACGGCCCACCAAACCGACGAUGGAUAGGGGUUCUGAGAGGAGGGUCCCCCACAUUGGUACUGAGACACGGACCAA